GACGAACGCUGGCGGCGUGCUUAACACAUGCAAGUCGAACGGAAAGGCCCUGCUUUUGUGGGGUGCUCGAGUGGCGAACGGGUGAGUAACACGUGAGAACCUGCCCUUGACUUUGGGGUAACUUCAGGAAAAUGGGGCUAAUACCGGGUAGGAGCUCCUGCUGCAUGGUGGGGGGUGGAAAGUUUCGGCGGUUGGGGAUGGACUCGCGGCUUAUCAGCUUGUUGGUGGGGUAGUGGCUUACCAAGGCUUUGACGGGUAGCCGGCCUGAGAGGGUGACCGGCCACAUUGGGACUGAGAUACGGCCCAGACUCCUACGGGAGGCAGCAGUGGGGAAUAUUGCACAAUGGGCGGAAGCCUGAUGCAGCAACGCCGCGUGCGGGAUGACGGCCUUCGGGUUGUAAACCGCUUUCGCCUGUGACGAAGCGUGAGUGACGGUAAUGGGUAAAGAAGCACCGGCUAACUACGUG
rnacentral:rRNA from 1 species